GCCGAAAUAGCUCAGUUGGGAGAGUGUUAAACUGAACAUCUAAAGGUUCUUGGUUUGAUUCCUGGUUUUGGCA